rnacentral:lncRNA from 1 species
CAAAGUGCUGGGAUGACAGGUGUGAGCCACCGCACCCGGCCACGUCUGUGACUUUUCUAAAGCUUUAAGAUGAUGUCACCCAUAGGCAGAAAGGCCCACUCAUUUCGUGCAUCUGCAGUCACUCUUCUGACGAGGUGCGGCUCUCUUUUGUUCUAUCAAAGAGAAAGCCAGUCUAAAUUAAUGGGAAACUAGAGAAUUAGGUCAUUUUUCAAGAUGAAAUUGCUGGUAGCUUAAGGAAUCAGCUACUUGAAUCCCAUGCUAAAAAAGUGUAACUCCUGAGGAGUGAGCUCUUCUUUCUUCCUUCCAUAAUGUCAGGCACUAAGGGAGGUUCAGAAACACAGAGCAGCAUCUACUCCUUUCUCAACGAGCGUGGGGUCCAGUGCAGUUGGCCCUCAUUUAACAAAUAAUUACACCCAUGCGUGAAAGGUCCAGUGGGGAAACAGUGCGGGGAGCCUCAGGCAGAGCUGAUUCAGGCCUGGGGAGGCACGGGAGCCACAUGUUCAGGGUCCACAGGCCCAGCGGAGUGAUACGGAAGUUUCCAAGAUGGUAAGCCUCUCUCCUGGCCCAUGCUCACCAACGGGACCCCAUUCCUAACCAGGCUUUCCCUCUCUCUCUUUUAAGUGUUCCAGGAAUGUUCCUACCCCUGCGUCUUUGCUGAAGCCCCUCUUGCCUGGGAUGCCCUCUGUCCUCUCUUUCUGCCCACACACAUCCUGCCAGUCCUUCAGACAGGGCCAGCCUCACGGGCAUAGGACCUGAGCAGUUUCACAGGGCCCUAUGCACAGAAGGAUCCCAAGCUCGGUUGAUUGCUCCGAUCUUGCCAUCUUGAAACUCUUUGAUAAUUUUAUCUUUUAUCUUGUGUUUUGGGAGUGAAAUCCAAUGGGAUAUUGGGGCCUGCAAAGGAGAAGAGGAGAUCCGCACAAACCCGUUCCUGGCUGCUGCAUUCACCUCCAGCGUUUGUGAUGCCCCAGAGCACAGAACUCCAGGGAGCCCACGAUGCAGGAGAGUUCAGCGACAUUCACUGAGUACAAGAGAAGACUGUUGGGAGGCACCAAUGGACUUUGCAACUGGAGAUCUCCCAACUGGACCAUGUCACUGUUAUGUUUAAUUUGCACUGUGCACAGUAGGUACCCAGUCAACGUUUGUCGAAUUCCAUGGACUGGGCCUUAUACCUCCGAGGAUUUUUCACAGCAGUAGCAUGUGCACAUGCACAGAACGAGAACACAACCAAUGCUUGUUUGCUGGUGAAGACCUGGUCUCAGUAUUUUGCCCAGGAAACCCUUUCUUCAUGGACAGCAUGAGGCAAGCUAUGGCCCUUGCUGUGGUCUCAGUGGUUCAGCACGGAAGAUGAAGAUGACGGGCAGUCUCAGAAUAUUAGCUUUAGAAGGGACUUUGGAUCCUUUUGAUUUUGGUAGGUGAAAUACUUUUUAAAAAUAAAGAAAACGGACUUUGGACAAA